rnacentral:rRNA from 1 species
UACAGAGGUCCCGAGCGUUGUUCGGAGUUACUGGGCGUAAAGGGUGCGUAGGCGGUUGUUUAAGUUUGGUGUGAAAUCUCCCGGCUCAACCGGGAGGGUGCGCCGAAUACUGAAUGACUAGAGUGCGGGAGAGGAAAGUGGAAUUCCUGGUGUAGCGGUGAAAUGCGUAGAUAUCAGGAGGAACACCGGUGGUGUAGACGGCUUUCUGGACCGUAACUGACGCUGAGGCACGAAAGCGUGGGUAGCAAACAGG